AACUUACCUUAUAUGGAACUUGGAGGAAUUAUAUCUCCCAGUGUUGGUAAACUCACCAGAUUGCAGAGAUUGGCACUUCACGAAAACAGUCUGCACGGCGUGAUUCCUAAUGAAAUUGGCAAUUGCCCUGAACUCAGAGCUAUAUACCUCAGGGCGAAUUUUAUUCAAGGUGGGAUACCAUCAGAUAUUGGAAAUCUUUCAAUACUGACCAUAUUAGACUUAUCAAGCAAUUCACUUAGGGGUGCUAUACCUUCUUCUCUUGGCCGUCUCAGACAUCUUCGUCUUCUGAACUUGUCAGCCAAUUUCUUCUCGGGUGAGAUCCCAGAU
rnacentral:misc_RNA from 1 species